GACGAACGCUGGCGGCAUGCCUAAUACAUGCAAGUCGAGCGAACAGAUGAAGUGCUUGCACUUCUGACGUCAGCGGCGAACGGGUGAGUAACACGUAAGGAAUCUACCUAUAAGCGGGGGAUAACAUUCGGAAACGGGUGCUAAUACCGCAUAAUAUCUUCUUCCGCAUGGAAGAAGAUUGAAAGACGGCUCUGCUGUCACUUAUAGAUGACCUUGCGGUGCAUUAGUUAGUUGGUGGGGUAACGGCCUACCAAGACGAUGAUGCAUAGCCGACCUGAGAGGGUGAUCGGCCACAUUGGGACUGAGACACGGCCCAAACUCCUACGGGGGGCAGCAGUAGGGAAUCUUCCGCAAUGGGCGAAAGCCUGACGGAGCAAUGCCGCGUGAGUGAAGAAGGCCUUCGGGUCGUAAAACUCUGUUAUAAGAGAAGAACAAAUUGUAGAGUAACUGCUACAGUCUUGACGGUAUCUUAUCAGAAAGCCACGGCUAACUACGUGCCAGCCGCCGCGGUAA
rnacentral:rRNA from 1 species